UUAUUUCAACUCCUCCCUAAGUACUGAAAGAGUAAAAGUAAAGCUAAAGAAAUAGCACAACAGUGAAUAUCCAUACCAAUACAUUAUAUUACUGUUACUAGCUUACUAGCAACAGUAAGUUGUUCACUUUUAAUUUUAGUACGAAAAAUGUUAAAAGGAAAAAAAAAGCUGUUCAACGAGUGUUACAGUUACAAGUUAGAGUAAGAGUAACGUUAAGGCCUACUUCUAGUACUACGAACUAAUACCGUUGUGACUAGUUUCUGUGUAGGAUGACCUGGUGUCUCGUUUGCCCUGUAGCCCAAACAACGACCGACUAUGUCACUCCUUAGUGUAGUUCCUAAAGAUACGUGCCAGUUUUGGUGACAAUCACUCCAUCGGCUUGCCAGUUAUAAGUAGACAUAUGGAUCUGGAGAGUGGCGUACUGAUCCGACUCCCUAAGUCACUCCAUGUAGGGCGUGAAAGCACAAGUUAGGUUUGGUGAAAAUGGGUUUAGCGGUUCGCCAGUUAUUAUAAGCAAACACACACUUUUGUGAAAUAAAGGUUUCAAUUAGAUGAUGAAUGUCAUGCUUUCCUUAAUCCUUCUUUCUUUUGAUAUGAUAAAUUGUGGCACACUACAGAUAUUUUUAUAAAAAGUUCUAAAACAUUAGUAUUUUGUUGUUAUAUAUAUAUUUUUUUUUCGAAAUGGAGAUGCUGGUGAUAUCUUAAUUUUUACAUCUGGUGAUUUUCUGAAAUUUUAGUAUAUCUAAAUGAUAUCUGCUCAUUCCAUCCAUGAAGUGACCAGUAGUUAUAUCAGGUCAAAGAUGACCAGAAACAGAGAACUUUAAUUUUAGAGCUAUUUGUAAAACGUUAAGGAGGAAUUAAAAAUCAUGAGUUUUUAAAA